rnacentral:rRNA from 1 species
GAUGAACGCUGGCGGCGUGCCUAAUACAUGCAAGUCGAGCGAACAGACGAGGAGCUUGCUCCUCUGACGUUAGCGGCGGAUGGGUGAGUAACACGUGGAUAACCUACCUAUAAGACUGGGAUAACUUCGGGAAACCGGAGCUAAUACCGGAUAAUAUAUUGAACCGCAUGGUUCAAUAGUGAAAGACGGUUUUGCUGUCACUUAUAGAUGGAUCCGCGCCGCAUUAGCUAGUUGGUAAGGUAACGGCUUACCAAGGCAACGAUGCGUAGCCGACCUGAGAGGGUGAUCGGCCACACUGGAACUGAGACACGGUCCAGACUCCUACGGGAGGCAGCAGUAGGGAAUCUUCCGCAAUGGGCGAAAGCCUGACGGAGCAACGCCGCAUGAGUGAUGAAGGUCUUCGGAUCGUAAAACUCUGUUAUUAGGGAAGAACAAAUGUGUAAGUAACUAUGCACGUCUUGACGGUACCUAAUCAGAAAGCCACGGCUAACUACGU